CCGUCACCCACGCGCACACGUUCCUCACCCCACCCUUCUAGCUCCCGAUCCCAUCUCCCCACCGGCCUCAACUUGGCUAUGGCGACGGGGAUCAACAACUCCUCUCCUUUGCCUUCUCAAUCGCCGCCCGCCACACGCCUCCCCGCGUCCCUCCUUCAUUCCCGUCCUCGAUUGGGCCGCCGCCGCCACCGCGCCAUCAGGGACGCCGGGGGAGUGCAACCACCGCGCCGCCAGGGUACGCCGCGUGUACCGGCAAUGCGUGAGUCGCCGCGGGUACCGCGCCGGUCGCUGCUUCUGACGAUGCGGGAGCCGCCCCAUCCGGCGAGGACGAGGGGCCCCGUCACCGCUGAUCCUCAGGGCGCAUGCUGCAUCUGAAGCCUCCCUAAUGAUCUCGUCCAUGGAGCACUGGAGUAUUGUUGUUGCGCCACUCCUUUUGUUCAUCGCCAAGAAGCAGGAGCAAGGCGGUGCGUCUCCCGUCCUGAUGAUCUCACAUACACCGUAGAGUAUUUUGUUUAGUUUUAUACUGACAUCACCACAUGGCUAUUGCUAAUUUCCAUGGGCCCCUUUCACGUGAUUGGUGACGGAAUUCCUUCUGUCAUGUCCAUUUACUCCCCAUCUCAUGGCUGGAGUUUGGUCCUAAUUACAGGCCCGGCUUUGAAUUAGUAAUUAGGAGGCACUAACAUGUUGGCUGAGAAGAAGGAAAAGAACUAGCAUGCAUAUUUAGAUCGAUAACCCUGUCAAUUUCUAAACUGAACCUCUCAGUUCCAGUGCAUAUAAAAGAAUAUCCAUUGUUUUAGGUUUUCGUGCAACUUGCCCAAAGCCACCAUAUGCACACUUUUGCCAAUGUCACAACUUUUAGUUUUAGAUAUAUACAUUAUUCAUAUUAUGCUUGUCAGAAUAUAUAAUUAUGUUUACUGUUCCAAUGAUUUCAGCUACUGAUGAUGCCGGUUUAAUUUGAUCAUGUGGCAUGUAGCUAAUUUGUUGUUUGCUGCAAUACAGAGAGGAAUUGUCCAACUGCCUUAAUUCAAGUUCAUUCUGAACAACACAUAAUUUUUCAAUGUACAGAAAAAGAUCCAAAAGCCCAUUGUUAUAUAGAAAAAAACUGAUUCAACUCAUAGGGUUGUGCAUGGCAUUUAUUAAUUGUAGGGCCCCAUUUUGCAUUUCGCACUGGGGCCUUGAAUUUCUAGAAUGCCCAUGCGUGUCGAAGAGGAUGCACGGCGCUGCAUCGAUGGCCACCAUGACGGGGCAAGCUGAUGGCAUCAAGCAUGAUGUAUGGAUGUGGGGUCUUCCUUUACGUGAUGUUGGAUGGUACCUACCCUUUUGAGGAUCCAGAAGAUCACAAGAAUUUCAAAAUGAAAGUUCAGUUCUCAUUUUCGGACUUCCACCUUAUGAAUCAGUUUACCAAGAUGUGGAUGGUCAGGAGAUGCGAGCCCAACAAAGAUUUUGCUCAAGGCUACAACUUGAACCUCAAUCCUACAUGAAAAUUUAAUUUGUGCCAUGAAAAAUUCAGUUAGCUUUACGAUUCUAUUUUCGGUAUUCAUUUCUAUUAGAAGUUAAAAUAAGAACUCAAGUAUGUUCCUUACUGGAGUCAAUUGCGUGAUCAUUAAGCGGGUCAAAACUGAACAGUGUAUUGACCACCCAUCCUGUAUUAGACAAGGAAGCAUAUACACAUCAUUUAUACAUGGUUAGUGUGGAGCCAAAACCAUCCAGACUGAUCCAGCCAGUCCAGAUUCCGAGUGGACCAAGUAGGCGUGCGAAUGAUAUACAUCAGACCAUCUCCAUUAUAUUCUGAGCGAUCCGUUGAGUUUGCUGACUCUGACUAUCCUCCAUGUCCUACUCUGGUGAUGCUCCAACGUUCUCCUAGAGGUCUGCGUCAACAGCCUUCAAGAGUUUUUAUCAUUCACAUGAGUUCUAUUGAUUUGUCUUUAUUAGAAAAAGGGAAAUGGUGUACAUCUAAGUUCAUCUAAGUUAGCUUAGCAAAAUAGCAAACUUGGUUGAUUUUACAUUCAUAGGAAACAGGCGAGCUCAUCACACCGUUGAGCUGUUGCAAUUCUACAUCCUAAUACAAACAUGGAAUCUAGAGGUGGAAAUACGAUACAUCACUCUUCUCUCCUCUCUCCUCUCGUGCAAGAGCCUCCAAAUCAGUGGUUCAGGCUGUGGAUUUGGGGCUAUGGGCUAUUGAAAUCCGGCUAGGAGGGAUCUAGGUGUAUUUCAGCUUAUGGGAAAGCUUGGCUGAGUUUCAACUAUCUAUUGCCGUGGUGGAUGAGACUCAGUGGUCAUGGGAGACUACUGGCAUCUUCUGGGUGAGAUCUGUUUAUAUAUGCAGCAUGCUUUGCAUGAAGGAAGGUGAUAUCUACAGCAAGGUUGGCGUGGACCUAAAGUUUUGUGGAUCCAAAACUACGCACAACGCCGGAUAUUCAGUCCCUAGCAAAACUUCUUCACAGUUGGCCCUGGAUGGACCAUAGCAUUUCAUCAUGCAGCAACCAAGGAGCACAUCGCGGGCAGCAGGAUGGCUGGAACUGAACAUUUUAAUUUGUAUAUAUACUACGGUGCCUUUCAAAGAAAGUCUAGGCAUGUGCUCUCCAGAGCACUCAGUCCGCAGCAGGAUGGCCUUUUUUUAUAUGGCUUAGCGGCUCCACUUAAAACGACUCUACCCUUAUUAGGUGAACUUCAACGUGGAUCGUCAAAUCGAUCGUAAAUGUCUAAACCAAAUGAUCUGAACACUUUCCCUCGAUAAGUUCCUCGCUUUCGCUCGAUGAGUUUUCAUAUUAGAAAUCCAAUACGCACUGCACUGUGUGAGAUAUCCAACACGGUUAAGUUCAGAUCCCGUAUGAGGACGAGAAACCUCGCCGACGCAACUCAUAUAAGCCAUCACAACCUCCAGAUCUGACAACGAGGCUCAGAGGACGGCGCUGACUGCGAUGAAGAUGCCAGUGGCCUCGGAGGCCCGAGGCCACCGCUAUGAGGUCACCAUCCUGUUAGUUAGGAUUAGUUCAAAUUUAAUUAAGCUUAAUUUAUA